UUGCUUAGAAUCAGAGGAGGGGUUAUGGAUUGAUACAAAUAGUCACCCCCGCCAAGCCAACCCCAGCGCAGGCUGAAUUAAUGUGUUGCUAUUUUUGGGAGCCCCGUGUUUCCAGGGGAGACCUAAUGACGCAAUGACGUCAAUGCGGGUCAAUCGCAGACUGGAGGAAUUGAGUGGCUUCCAUUUGGGGCUUUUGCAGUAUUUCCUACAGAAAGGAUGGAAACGAGUACAAAAUGGAACUGUAUUUCCUCCACCAAAAAAAAAAAAAAAAAAAAAAUGCAUCGAAAAAUAGAGGUGAAUCAAAAUGCAGAAGUGAAAAUGAUCACAGUGGCAUCACGUCGCCCCAACCCUUCGAGCAUCAGCGAUAGUAAGGGAGGGCUUCACACAAUCCCGACCUAUUCCAAGCACUCGCAUCUAGACGCACAGAGAUGCUGGACCAACUGUGUAUGAUCGUGGCUGUGAUUUCAAUGCAGCGGUCUUGUUCUUUUCAGGUCUUUUUGCGGUCUGGGCUUUCUGUCAAAUGACUAUCCAGGAAGCCCUUACCCCAAAAAGCAUCUGCAAGGGACCCUUUACAACCAGGAAGAUAUUCAUAAAAUGCCCUCUUGACACAUGAGGUCAACUAAUAUAUUGUGAAGCCAAUUGUAUCAAAUAAGUUCCUGUGUAUACGGUUGUGAAACAGUGUAUCUGGCUUACUUGUUCAACACAAAAGGUUUGUGAGUGCUUUAAGUAGAUUAUUUCCUAAUAAAUGAUUAAUAAACCUGUAUAUAAUAUAGACCAUAAUGAAUUAAAAACACACCUGCUGUUAAUCCUGUUAUUCCCAUAUGAUGUGUCCUGAAGAGCAACAUUCAGACACAUUACUUCAACUCUAAAUGCGUCUGAAGCACCACAUGAUUCCUCCAGAAGGUGGCAGCAUUGCUCAAUAUUUUUAACUAUGGAAAUUUGACUUAAUAGCCACACACAACAAAACCACGGAUACACGCAGAGUGAAGAUGAUGACCAUGAUCUGAAUGAUGGUGUCCUUGUGUGUAUCUAGUGUGUUUAUAAUGCCACUCAUUACUAAUCCACUGUACUGAUUCAUUAUUACAACACUUUAAUGUAACCCAGCUGUGAUUUUUGUUAUUUGUAUGCAUUUGUUUGGCUGUAUAUGUGUGUAAUGCAGUACAUUCAAAACAUCUAGAUGUAUAGGCUUGUCAAUAAAGUGAAUGUUAAGCGAGUUGCUAGUUGCUAGUACUUUAGCAUUGUGUGCAGGAAGUGAAUUAUGAGUUCCUGUGAACUAGUCUACUCACUGAACUAGACAUUUCCUCUCUGUUAGUCAUCUCUUUAACAAUGUGCAUUUCCUCUGCCAAGAAGUUCUUUUUAGCUUCAUGCAAACCACAACAAAAAACAGGUGCAAAACACUUUCUGAUUUCACUUCCAGUAAAUCACACACAAAGACAUUAUUAGACAUGCAACCGCUGACUCCAAAAGUGUCCCACAAAGCUUGCAAAGAAAUCCAUCUUUGUUUUGACAUGAAAUAACUUUGAUUUAGCUAUUUAGGUUGUUUUAGACACAUACUGUUUCUCUCAAACAACAAAGGCAUAAGCAAACACUACCGAAUUUCCUCACCUUUAAUGAUCGUGGUGGAGUUUGUUUGUUUUUUCAACCUCUUUCUAUCAGUCAGGAUUUUUCUGGAAAAGCUUAAUUCAAAAUGUUAAAGUCCUCCUGCACCCAAAACUGUGUUAUUCUUAUUGUUACUUUAUAUUGGGAUGUUUUGACCUUCACUGUUCAGAAUGAUGCAUGUGCAGAGCUGUGCAGAGUGACCCCAGACUAGACUGUUGAAGAGGGGAAAGUUUCUCUGUGCUCACCUUGAAUACCUGUUUAUUUGUGAACAGCGGUAUGAUCACAACUGCUUUGGAAGCCAAUUGCUGUUCAAUAUGUUUAGCAAUUGUCGAUUUGCUAAUUGACAGUGCAUAAAAGAUAAACUGUAUUUCCUUCCUCUUGAACUUAAUCAAUUAAUUAAACCAUACCACACACAUAUUGUCCAGCAAACCAGUUUUAUGUGUCCUAAGAUAUCUGUUUCAGUAGGUAUAAAGAUAAACAGUCAAUACCAACAGCAUCUACAAAAUUAUAUCCAGACAACAGAGUUCUUAUUAACUAUGAGAAAAGAAAAAUAAACAAAAUUGGAAAAUCA